rnacentral:lncRNA from 1 species
GAAGUUAUGAUUAAAUUUUAUUAAAGCAUAAAACUUGUGAUACAUUGUAAAUAAAACAGUAGCAAAACAUAAUGCCAGUUGUGAAACGUCUGUGUAUAUGUGCACAUGCUAUUCUGGUUCUUUGGUUUGGUUUGGUUUUUUUUUGAGGCAGAGUCUCACUCUGUUGCCCAGGCUGGCGAGCAGUGGUGCGAUCUCAGCUCACUGCAACCUCCGUCUCCCGGGUUCAAGUGAUUUUCCCCUCGGUCUCCUGAAUAUCUGAGAUUACAGGCAUCUACCACGAUGUCCGGCUAAUUUUUGUAUUUUUUGUAGAGACACGGUUUUGCCAUGUUGGUCAGGCUGGUCUCGAACUCCUGGCCUCAAGAGAUCCAUCUGCCUUGGCCUCCCAAAGUACAGGGAUUACAGAACGUGAGCCACCACACCCAGCCCUGGUUCUUUUACUUGAACUACCCUCUAUGAUAACCAUUCUUUCUUCAAUUUACAAGAAUAACUAAUUUUUCAUUUAUCAUUGAUAUACAACAGCUAUUGCUUUUAAAAAAAGAUAAUCGCCAUUUCCCCUACAUUACUUCUACCACAUAAUGAGGUCCUAGUAAUCUGUCACUCUCAUAAAAAGCCCAGUGUCGGCCGGGCACACUGGCUCACGCCUGUAAUCCCAGCACUUUGGAAGGCGGAGGCGGGCGGAUCAUGAGGUCAAGAGAUUGAGACCAUCCUGGCUAACAUGGUGAAACCCUGUCUCUACUAAAAAUACAAAAGUUAGCUGGGGGUGGUGGCACACGCCUGUAGUCCCA